rnacentral:rRNA from 1 species
GAACGCAGCGAAAUGCGAUAAGUAAUGCGAAUUGCAGAAUUCAGUGAAUCAUCGAAUCUUUGAACGCACAUUGCGCCCGGCAGCAAUCUGCCGGGCAUGCCUGUCCGAGCGUCA